CUUUCUUUGCUUGCUUACUUGUACAGGUCUUUCUUUCAAGCCUGUCAUCUGGCUUUGAAAACACACAGACUGCUGGCAUCUCUUCUGAAAACUCCUUGGAGGACAAAUCUCUCAAACUGUGCUCAUAUUUGCCAAGUCAGCAACUUGGAGAUUUUGCUAUAAACUCAUCAAAUUCUUCCAAGAGGAAAUCAUCCGAGCUGCAAUCCACACUUUCUCAAAGCCAGCACUGUGCCAAGAUCACCCAUUAUAGAUGUCAAUCAGCUCUGCACUGGAUGGUCAUGUGAUUGCUUCCGGUUGAAAAGCGGCGCCUCGUUGAUCAUUCGAUCCCUUUUGUUGUUGUGGUAGUGAAUGGAGGGUCUGACAACAAUAUGGAGAGAGUGCAGGAUACCUUAUACUGGAAUGGGGGCCAGGCCUUUAAAAUUGGAGAAGGGGGACUCUUACUGACAAGAAUAGAGAGGGAAUGAAAGAAUGGUUGGAUAAUUGAGAGGCAGGUCAUGGAGGGUGGAUAUAUUGUACGCAUCAGACAACAACCCAAACUCCAAGAAAAGUCUGUGAAAAUAGGUCACAAUUUGCAC
ensembl:lncRNA